rnacentral:lncRNA from 1 species
GUCAAUACAAGGGCAACGCUGGAACCCCCUUCAAUAAUUUACAACUGUUGCAGUCAUGCGGCACCACAGCAAAAGAAAGAAAAAAAUGAAAGAAAACUUGAAAACAAGACCACAGACUAGCAGGUCCAUCAUCGGCUGGUACCACAGACUAGCAGGCCGGCGAAAACCCUCAGCAGCUGAGAUGAAACUCCCCGCUGGCGUGGACUUGCUUCACCUGCUUCUCGUACUCGUCCUCGCCGUCCUCGUGUUCCUCGUCUGGAUCCUUGCUGUCCUCCUGCU